AUUGAACGCUGGCGGCAGGCCUAACACAUGCAAGUCGAGCGAGCGGCGGACGGGUGAGUAAUGCCUAGGAAUCUGCCUGGUAGUGGGGGAUAACUACUGGAAACGGUAGCUAAUACCGCAUACCAUCAGAUGAACCCAUAUGGGAUUAGCUUGUAGGUGAGGUAACGGCGCACCUAGGCGCCGAUCCCUAGCUGGUCUGAGAGGAUGAUCCGCCACACUGGGACUGAGACACGGCCCAGACGCCUACGUGAGGCAGCAGUGGGGAAGAUUGCACAAUGGGCGCAAGCCUGAUGCAGCCAUGCCGCGUGUAUGAAGAAGGCCUGCGGGUUGUAAAGUACUUUCAGUCGGGAGGCGUUACCGACAGAAGAAGCACCGGCUAACUCCGUGCCAGCAGCCGCGGUAAUUC
rnacentral:rRNA from 1 species